rnacentral:rRNA from 1 species
AUGGGACUGCGCCCUAUCAGUUUGUUGGUGAGGUAAUGGCCCACCAAGACUAUUACAGGUACGGGCUCUGAGAGGAGUAGCCCGGAGAUGGGUACUGAGACACGGACCCAGGCCCUAUGGGGCGCAGCAGGCGAGAAAACUUUGCAAUGUGCGAAAGCACGACAAGGUUAAUCCGAGUGGUUUCUGCUAAAGAAACCUUUUGUCAGUCCUAGAAACACUGAUGAAUAAGGGGUGGGCAAGUUCUGGUGUCAGCCGCCGCGGUAAAACCAGCACCUCAAGUGGUCAGGAUGAUUAUUGGGCCUAAAGCAUCCGUAGCCGGCUCUGUAAGUUUUCGGUUAAAUCUGUACGCUCAACGUACAGGCUGCCGGGAAUACUGCAGAGCUAGGGAGUGGGAGAGGUAGACGGUACUCGGUAGGAAGGGGUAAAAUCCUUUGAUCUAUUGAUGACCACCUGUGGCGAAGGCGGUCUACCAGAACACGUCCGACGGUGAGGGAUGAAAGCUGGGGGAGCAAACCGGAUUAGAUACCCGGGUAGUCCCAGCUGUAAACUAUGCAAACUCAGUGAUGCAUUGGCUUGUGGCCAAUGCAGUGCUGCAGGGAAGCCGUUAAGUUUGCCGCCUGGGAAGUACGUACGCAAGUAUGAAACUCAAAGGAAUUGACGG